AUGGGGUUGGGACUCAGCUGGGUUUUCCUUGUUGCUAUUUUGAGAGGUGUCCAGUGUGAGGUGCAGCUGAUAGAGUCUGGGGGAGGCUUGGUUCAGCCUGUGGGGUCCCUGAGACUCUCCUGUGCAGCUUCUGGAUUCACCUUCAGUGACUACGAAAUGAACUGGGUCCGCCAGGCUCCAGGGAAGGGGCUAGAGUGGGUCUCAUACAUUAAUGGUGGUGGUGGUACUGCAUACUACGCCGCCUCUGUGAAGGGCCGAUUCAUCACCUCCAGAGACAACGCCAAGAACACGCUGUAUCUGCAAAUGAACAGCCUGACAGCUGAGGACACAGCCGUAUAUUACUGUGCAACAGCCACACAGUGA